rnacentral:rRNA from 1 species
UACGGAGGGGGGCUAGCGUUGUUCGGAAUUACUGGGCGUAAAGCGCGUGUAGGCGGCCCGGUAAGUCCGCUGUGAAAGUCGGGGGCUCAACCCUCGAAUGCCGGUGGAUACUGUCGGGCUAGAGUGCGGAAGAGGCGAGUGGAAUUCCUGGUGUAGCGGUGAAAUGCGCAGAUAUCAGGAGGAACACCAAUUGCGAAGGCAGCUCGCUGGGACGUUACUGACGCUGAGACGCGAAAGCGUGGGGAGCAAACAGG